UUAUGGCUCAGGAUGAACGCUGGCGGCGUGCUUAACACAUGCAAGUCGAACGAAGCAUUUCUAACUCUUCGGAGGAGGAAAUGACUGAGUGGCGGACGGGUGAGUAACGCGUGGGUAACCUGCCUUAUACAGGGGGAUAACAGUUAGAAAUGACUGCUAAUACCGCAUAACCCGCUAGUACCGCAUGGUACAGACGGAAAAGAUUUAUCGGUAUAAGAUGGACCCGCGUCUGAUUAGCUAGUUGGUGAGGUAAUGGCUCACCAAGGCGACGAUCAGUAGCCGGCUUGAGAGAGUGAACGGCCACAUUGGGACUGAGACACGGCCCGAACUCCUACGGGAGGCAGCAGUGGGGAAUAUUGCACAAUGGGGGAAACCCUGAAUGCAGCAACGCCGCGUGAAGGAAGAAGUAUUUCGGUAUGUAAACUUCUAUCAGCAGGAAAGAAAAUGACGGUACCUGACUAAGAAGCCCCGGCUAACUACGUGCCAGCCGCCGC
rnacentral:rRNA from 1 species